GAGUGAUCGAAAGAUGAAAAGCACUUUGAAAAGAGAGUUAAAAAGUACGUGAAAUUGUUGAAAGGGAAGCGUUUAUGACCAGACUUGGGCUUGGUUAAUCAUCUGGGGUUCUCCCCAGUGCACUUUUCCAGUUCAGGCCAGCAUCAGUUUUCGCCGGGGGAUAAAGACUUCGGGAAUGUGGCUCCUCUCGGGGAGUGUUAUAGCCCGUUGUGUAAUACCCUGGCGGGGACUGAGGUUCGCGCUUCUGCAAGGAUGCUGGCGUAAUGGUCAUCAACGAC
rnacentral:rRNA from 1 species